rnacentral:rRNA from 1 species
UACGUAGGGUGCGAGCGUUAAUCAGAAUUACUGGGCGUAAAGCGUGCGUAGGCGGCUGGCAAAGUCAGCUGUGAAAGCCCCGGGCUUAACCUGGGAAUGGCGGUUGAAACUGGUCGGCUUGAAUCUGGAGAGGGGGGUGGAAUUCCCGGUGUAGCAGUGAAAUGCGUAGAGAUGGGGAGGAACACCGAUGGCGAAGGCAGCCCCCUGGGCAGAGAUUGACGCUCAGGCGCGAAAGCGUGGGGAGCAAACGGG